AAUUAGCGCAGACUUCGAGUGCUGGCAAUUUUGACAACUUGGCCUCAAAUCAGGUAGGACUACCCACUGAACUUAAGCAUAUCAAUAAGUGGAGGAAAAGAAACUAACAAGGAUUCCCCUAGUAACGGCGAGUGAAGCGGGAAGAGCUCAAAUUUAAAAUCUGGCAGUCUACGAUUGUCCGAAUUGUAAUCUCGAGAAGUGUUUUCCGCGUUGGCCUGUGCACAAGUCCCUUGGAACAGGGCGUCAUAGAGGGUGAGAAUCCCGUCCUUGGCACAGAUACCCAAUGCUUUGUGAUACACUCUCAAUGAGUCGAGUUGUUUGGGAAUGCAGCUCAAAAUGGGAGGUAAAUUCCUUCUAAAGCUAAAUACUGGCGAGAGACCGAUAGCGAACAAGUACCGUGAGGGAAAGAUGAAAAGCACUUUGGAAAGAGAGUCAAACAGUACGUGAAAUUGUUGAAAGGGAAACGAUUGAAGUCAGUCGUGCCUGCCUAGAUUCAGCCUUCUGGUGUAUUUCUAGGUCGGCAGGUCAGCAUCAGUUUGGGAGGGUUAACAAGGGGAUUAGGAAUGUGGCAACCUCGGUUGUGUUAUAGCCUAGUUUCGUAUUGAUCUUGCUGGACUGAGGAACGCAGUGCGCCCGCAAGGGUAGUGUUCUUCGGACACUUUC
rnacentral:rRNA from 1 species